rnacentral:tRNA from 1 species
AGGCGGUGGCCGAUGGCGCGACCGCCGCGCUCUACAAGAGCCCGGAGAUCCAGACCAUCUACACCAAGUGGUUCCAGAGCCCGAUCCCGCCGA